rnacentral:lncRNA from 1 species
AGAGGCUGACUGGCUGGCUACAUAUCUGUCUCUGGAACAAUAGGUACCUAUAUUCUGCACGGGCUUCUGGGCAGGCAGCACUAACACUCAGGAGAAGGUCUGCCUCUGUCUGCGCCUUCCUGGUUCAAUGCAGGCAGAUGAGUGUCACAGAUGUAACUGAGGCACUGAAUAAUCAACAUAUCGGAGCCAAUUCCCAGGACGGCAAGAGGGGGAACCGGCAGAGAUGACUGACCCUGGAGGACAAGAGCAUUCUUCUGACAAGUUUUAGCAUGGACUAUCCUCAGGAAAAUGAGAUCCAGGAAGAGUGACGCCCUCCUCGAACUGAAAGAUACUCAGGUUGAUGGAGUCAGGGACGAAGUGGCUUAUCAACAACACAGGAUGUCUGCAGGGAACAGAACUUAUUCAGACAUGGCCCAGAUUGUCUGCCCGUGGGGACUGAGGGACCUCUGAGGGUUACAUCAGGAAGGAAGGAGAGGCUGUUUCUACAGGUGCCACAGAAAAAUCGAUGCUGAGCCUCGGAUUAUUGGAUCCCAUAGAACCGUGGAGACUUGGCAGUGAAAUUCUUCCAAAGCAUUCCAUCUGCGCAGGCAGGCAGAGGUUUUCCUGGUUUGGGAAGUAUAAAUCCCGUGGGAAGUCAACUGGAGGACAUUUUACGCGUCACUCAUCCUAUUAUGAGCCUGCUGCUCCUCCGUCUCUUGACAAGGCCACCAACUAGAAGGGCACAGAAUUGUUCAUAAAACAGCUGAAUGUGAAUGUCUUUGGAUUCCCAUUUAAUGAGUUGGCAGCUAAAGGACAGGAGCAGCAAUAAGGCUUCCUGGCUACAUUUUCAUGGUGCCACCAACUGCGAGUUAAGCUGACAAACAUUUUGAGAGCUCGGCCCAUUUCAUUCCCAGCAGGAUGGCAGGAGUUAACUAAAACAGAAUAAACUAAAAAUUGUGCCUUCAUUGCACAUUUGCACUGAUUAUCAGCACUGAAAAUGGCUAAGUUCUGCUUAUCAAGAGCGGGUGACUGAUUGUCCCUGCCAGCUGGCUAAUAUCAUAAUUAGCAAAGUUGCUACCACAUCUGCAAAGUUUAAUCGAAAAAUUUACCAGUGGUAUGAUGGCAUUGUCACCGCGAUCCUGAGGGAAUCAGAGUCGACUUCUGCUUCAACUGGAAUGGCAAGGCUGUAGAGCUGAGAUGAGAAACUGUAAACUUGCUCAGCCAAAGGUUAUGCUUCACAUCACCCACCAGGGAGGAUCAUCUCUCAUGAAAACUUUCAAAUUUGAUUUUGAAAAUUUAUUCAGAAAAAUUUAAGCCACGCUCUUUCCCAACACAGGAAAUAAUAUGCUCCAGAGAAUCCUCUAAUUCACCGAAAAUGGACUUGGAUAACAUUUGGGUUCUCAUACUACCACAGUCCUCUUGAGAAGGACAGCCAGGCUUGGGUGGCAGUGGUGAGGAAGGUUCCUUUCUGUCAAGGGAGCUGAUGCCUUAAAGAAGCUAUCUCCAGAUAAAGGGAGAUCUAAGGAAGGAAGCCAACGAAAGACACCAUGUACCAGAAAGCCAAGCAGGAUUUUGACAUUUAUAACCAUAAUCUCUAUAAACAAGAUGAAUUAUGGCUGGGGAUUCAGUUAGUAAAUCAACGAAAAUAAAUCCUGGUAAGGAGGCUAAUAAUGAAGGGGCCAGGGAAGGAGGCCAAUGCUACAGGGUUAUCUCCUAACCUCAGAUGUUGGAUAAGUCCAUGGAAACAGCAGCGCUUCUGGAUGGCUUCAGAAAGGCUGGAGUGAUUGUUUGGACGAGAAAAACCCGCCUAUUCAUUCAAAGGUACAUGAAUGUUGUCGACACUGUCCCAUCUAAAGGUUCAUCCUUAGAAUUCUGCCUUAGACAAAGGAAGUGCUUGGAGCCCCACCACACCUAAAACCAUGCUUUGAAGGAUCUGCCAAGCUCACUUUUAAUCAUGAGAAAGAAAUUACCCACAUGGAGACAGCAGAAAAUGAGAAAGUAGAGAUCGUGCUGCGAAUAAUUCCAGCGAGUGCCAAGGGGCUAGUUGAGGAAUGGCUUCAUGAGAUGUUAGUCUAUCUAGAACAACAGAUUUGGAUCUAAGCUGGACCUUUGAGAAAGAAAAGACUUCGAGGAAAAACACCUUUCCAUAUGUUUUAUUACCUUUCACCUGAAUUGUUUAAUGCACACUAUCCAACUAUAUUCAUCUUUCUUGCUUCAUGUGUAUUUCUUCUUUUGCUUGAACUGCUUUAGAAUUGACUUUUGAGCUACACAGUCAUUCUGGAUUUUUAAAAAGAGAAUUCUAAUAAAAACUUAUAUAUGUUGUUAA